GGCAACGGGUGAGUAACGCGUGGGUGACCUGCCUUCGAGCGGGGGAUAACGUUUCGAAAGGAACGCUAAUACCGCAUGACAUCCUGCCUUUGAAGAGGUGGAGAUCAAAGCUGGGGAUCGCAAGACCUAGCACUUGGAGAGGGGCCCGCGUCUGAUUAGCUAGUUGGUGAGGUAACGGCUCACCAAGGCGACGAUCAGUAUCCGGCCUGAGAGGGCGGACGGACACACUGGGACUGAGACACGGCCCAGACUCCUACGGGAGGCAGCAGUGGGGAAUUGUUCGCAAUGGGCGCAAGCCUGACGACGCAACGCCGCGUGGAGGAUGAAGACCUUCGGGUCGUAAACUCCUUUCGAUCGAGACGAAAGACUUCCGGGUGAACAAUCCGGGAGAGUGACGGUACCGAGAGAAGAAGCCCCGGCUAACUCCGUGCCAGCAGCCGCGGUAAUACGGGGGGGGCAAGCGUUGUUCGGAAUUACUGGGCGUAAAGGGCUCGUAGGCGGCCAACUAAGUCAGACGUGAAAUCCCUCGGCUUAACCGGGGAACUGCGUCUGAUACUGGAUGGCUUGAGGUUGGGAGAGGGAUGCGGAAUUCCAGGUGUAGCGGUGAAAUGCGUAGAUAUCUGGAGGAACACCGGUGGCGAAGGCGGCAUCCUGGACCAAUUCUGACGCUGAGUGAGCGAAAGCCAGGGGAGCAAACGGGAUUAGAUACCCCGGUAGUCCUGGCCCUAAACGAUGAAUGCUUGGUGUGGCGGGUAUCGAUCCCUGCCGUGCCGAAGCUAACGCAUUAAGCAUUCCGCCUGGGGAGUACGGUC
rnacentral:rRNA from 1 species